rnacentral:lncRNA from 1 species
GUGUGUGUGUGUGUGUGUGUGUUUUCUUUCUUUUGCAGAUUCAGAUCGGAGAUAUGAUGGAUAGUGCUAAGAAAAAAUAGGGAUUGUCUUGCUGAUGGCUUCAUAAGUUGAUGAACUCUCAGAUUUUACAAAAUUAAUUUUUUGGUAUCAUCAAUUCAAAUUUUCUUUAGUUUCUUUUGGUGUAACAAAAGUGAGCUUAGAACUUAUAUAUAAAG